rnacentral:rRNA from 1 species
GUGGGGAAUAUUGCACAAUGGGCGCAAGCCUGAUGCAGCAAUGCCGCGUGUGUGAAGAAGGCCUGCGGGUUGUAAAGCACUUUUAUUGGGAAAGAAAAACCCGGAGCUAAUACCUCCGGCAUUGACGGUACCCAAAGAAUAAGCACCGGCUAACUCAGUGCCAGCAGCCGCGGUAAUACUGAGGGUGCGAGCGUUAAUCGGAAUUACUGGGCGUAAAGCGAGUGUAGGCGGUUACCUAAGUCGGAUGUGAAAGCCCCGGGCUUAACCUGGGAAUUGCAUUCGAUACUGGGUGACUGGAGUUUGGUAGAGGUAAGUGGAAUUCCGGGUGUAGCGGUGAAAUGCGUAGAUAUCCGGAGGAACAUCAGUGGCGAAGGCGGCUUACUGGACCAAAACUGACGCUGAGGCUCGAAAGCGUGGGUAGCAAACAGGAUUAGAAACCCUAGUAGUCC